UGGAAAUCAUCAUCAAUUUUUCUAUAGAAAAAAAAGAAAGAUAAAAUGAAUAAUUUAUGAAUUAAAGAAAAUACAUAUGGAAAAAACGAAGAUCAUGUUUUUCGUUCUUUUUUUUGUAUGCGACAAAUUGAGUCAAAAUCACACACACACACACACACACACACCAGCACUGGAAUCGUGUGUGUGCAAACAGAUUUCAGGAUUAUAUCACCAAACGACCAGAAUAUACAAACUAAUAAUGAUGAUGAUGAUGAUCAUAAAAGCUUUUCUCUUGCUCUCUCAUUCGAAAUCAGCUUAACGUCCAGAUUUUUUUUUGUUGUUGUUGUUGAGAUUAAUUCUUCAAUGAUGAAUUGAAAAAUAAAUUGUGAAUCAAACAAAUUUUUUUUAUUUUGAUUCUCGUUCAACAAUUAUAAAUACACACACACACACACACACAUAAACAUAUUACUUAGGCUGUGAUCAUUGAUCCUAUAUUUUCAUUUGUUUGUUUUCUUUCUCUUUUGCUAGAAUUUUUUUUAUUACAUCUAUUUUAAUGGAGAUAAAACUCAACGAUGAUGAUAAUGACGGGAAUGAAACAUAGAAAUAAAUUCAAUUCAAAAUUCUCGAUUGAUCAAA